GCGUGAAAACACGUUAACCUCCGUUGAAGCCUCCAACUUUGUUGGCCUGACUAAUUUAAAAACCUUGAACUUAGCCGAGAACAACAUUAGAGUUAUCGAGUCAAAUGCGUUUGAUGCGCUAACCAGUCUCACAUACUUAAAUUUUGAAGGAAACGAACUGACAUCCUUGAAUAACUCCCA